UGCAGUCGAGCGGACAGAAGGGAGCUUGCUCCCGGAUGUUAGCGGCGGACGGGUGAGUAACACGUGGGUAACCUGCCUGUAAGACUGGGAUAACUCCGGGAAACCGGAGCUAAUACCGGAUAGUUCCUUGAACCGCAUGGUUCAAGGAUGAAAGACGGUUUCGGCUGUCACUUACAGAUGGACCCGCGGCGCAUUAGCUAGUUGGUGAGGUAACGGCUCACCAAGGCGACGAUGCGUAGCCGACCUGAGAGGGUGAUCGGCCACACUGGGACUGAGACACGGCCCAGACUCCUACGGGAGGCAGCAGUAGGGAAUCUUCCGCAAUGGACGAAAGUCUGACGGAGCAACGCCGCGUGAGUGAUGAAGGUUUUCGGAUCGUAAAGCUCUGUUGUUAGGGAAGAACAAGUGCAAGAGUAACUGCUUGCACCUUGACGGUACCUAACCAGAAAGCCACGGCUAACUACGUGCCAGCAGCCGCGGUAAUACGUAGGUGGCAAGCGUUGUCCGGAAUUAUUGGGCGUAAAGGGCUCGCAGGCGGUUUCUUAAGUCUGAUGUGAAAGCCCCCGGCUCAACCGGGGAGGGUCAUUGGAAACUGGGAAACUUGAGUGCAGAAGAGGAGAGUGGAAUUCCACGUGUAGCGGUGAAAUGCGUAGAGAUGUGGAGGAACACCAGUGGCGAAGGCGACUCUCUGGUCUGUAACUGACGCUGAGGAGCGAAAGCGUGGGGAGCGAACAGGAUUAGAUACCCUGGUAGUCCACGCCGUAAACGAUGAGUGCUAAGUGUUAGGGGGUUUCCGCCCCUUAGUGCUGCAGCUAACGCAUUAAGCACUCCGCCUGGGGAGUACGGUCGCAAGACUGAACUCAAAGGAAUUGAC
rnacentral:rRNA from 1 species